rnacentral:ncRNA from 2 species
ACGUAAUAGUGUUACGACGGUUCCCCGACCGAGAGUGAAGGGGAUUAAUAGGGAACACGGUGAGGACGACCCGAAAAGGGACCGAGACCGUGGCUGCCCCCGCAACUGUAAGCGGAUUGCUGUCCAUCCUCGUGACGCUGACAGGCGUCAUGCCACUGUGUUUGAUCGGCGAAAGCUGAACGACACGGGAAGGCAGAUGGAAGCGACCAUCCGCAAGCCAGGAGACCUGCCGUCAUAGGGCCUUGAGC